UACAGAGGUCUCAAGCGUUGUUCGGAUUCAUUGGGCGUAAAGGGUGCGUAGGCGGCGCGGUAAGUCGGGUGUGGAAAUCUCGGAGCUUAACUCCGAAACUGCAUUCGAUACUGCCUGUGCUUGAGGACUGGAGAGGAGACUGGAAUUUACGGUGUAGCGGUGAAAUGCGUAGAUAUCGUAAGGAAGACCAGUGGCGAAGGCGGGUCUCUGGACAGUUCCUGACGCUGAGGCACGGAAGGUCAGGGGAGCAAACGGG
rnacentral:rRNA from 1 species